ACUGUUUGAGCAAUUGAAUAUUUUUUUAAUAUUGUUAUACAUUCUUUGACAUUUCCCCACAUUGUUUUUGGUCAUAUUUCUUCUCUCCUGUGUCCUGCCAGAUCCCUCUGACAUCCAAUGUGGUGUUCUCAAUUUGUUUUUAAUGCCAUGUAUUAACUCUUAGGUAUGUGGUUAUUCCCUGGACUGUGUUAGAGUUACCAGGAGCCACGCCCUUAAAGAGAACUAACUCUCCUCCUUUUCUCAGAAGCUAUCAUUUACCAAAGCUCCUCAGCCAGGAGAGGAACAUCCUGCACUUAGCCCUUCUUCAUGCUGGGAUCUUGUCUGGCUUGCGCUUGUGCAGAUCUUGUGAGCACUUCCUCAGUGACUGUAAACUCAUGCUUCCUUCUGAUCAUUCACCGCCUCUGGCUGUUCCGGUCCUCCUAACGCCUCUUCCACAGUGAUCCCUGACCCUUGGGAGGAGAGCGUGAUGUGUGAUAUCUCAUUUAGGGCUGAGCAUCUGAUGUCACUCUGGACACCUUUUCCAAUGGUGGAUCUCAGUAUCAGUCACCUACAACAGUAAAUAUCUUCUCAGAUCUUCAAAUGUGCACUAAUCUAUAAGUAUGAUGAAAACCACUAGAAGUCAAUUUAAUACUAUUUAAUACUCAUUAACAGAAUACUAGUGGUAGGUUCUCCCCUAGCUACUCUCUAGUCACAUAUUCUUGACCUUGAUAGCUGUCAGGAAUAAGUUCCCAUCUUGUGGAGUGGCUUUAAUUACAAUCAGAAAACGUGUACUUGGGCUCCAACCUGAGGGCAUAUUUAAUGGGAAGGUGCCCUUACCAAUUUAUUUGCCCUAGAUGAGGACAAAAACAGAAUUCGCUGGUACUGAUGCUCUUACUAGGGCCUAGAGAGUUCCAUGAAAGGUCAAGAAUGUAAUGCUGGGAAGAGACAAACAAAUGGCCUGUGUUGUUAUCAGCAAGCCAGACAUCCAGAAUUGUUUUCCCAAAUUUAUAAGCCUUAAAUCAAGUUGGUUAUUUGGGUAAAGUAUUCCUUGGCAUUGCUAUCAUUAUGGUUUGCAUUUAGUACUAAUACAUGCUUUGGGGCUCAGUAAUACCAAAGCUACUCCUAGAAACACACACUGGAAGUAAUUAAUGGUUAUUAUUAAUUAACUACAGUUCUGCUUCUAAAAAUCAAGAAAAAUUGUUGGCAUAUUAAACUUAGUGGCCCUCUGUGUAUUUCUGAUAGAAGAUGAGUAGAUUUUGAAGACUAUUUGACUGUGUUAUAAAAUGUUCUAGCUAGAGAGGUGACAUACUUCUUAAUAAACCCUGAGGCCACCCAACCCCCACUUACCUCAGUGGUAGACUUGGGACAGAAUAGAAGAUCCUGGCGUCCUGGGAGACAACCCUGUCCGAAGCUCAAGGAUGUCUUCCUGCCUGUAGAGAUAAAUUCUAUCUUCUCAGAUUGCAUACCAGCCAUGGGUCUAGAAGACUUUAGCAUUGCUCUUUUGAGAGCAUCCUAUGGCCUAGGAACCUACUUCUCACCAAUAUGGCAGUCUUUCCAUUGUUUUAUGGAAGUGAGGUGGGGUGGGUACUCAGCCUUGGUGUUGGAGCCCAUCCUUGCUACCUAACCCUAAACAAGAUUGCUCUAAGUAUGGAAUCCAUAGGUCCAAGAUUAAAUCUUGAAAGAAAGGAAAUUUGCUCAGAGAUUCAGGUCAGAAACAUGUUUUAUCUAAAGCUUUUAGUUUUCCUCUUGAUCUAUCUUCAAACUUACCAAGCCUUCAGCAGUUUCUCGAGGAGUCCUUUGAAAGGGUCUUGUGACCCUCCUCAACCAAAGCUCCUAAGGAAUGGUCUAUGUCGGUGGGAGAAGCACUUUAUCACUCAUGUUUGGUGCUGCCUCUUCACUGUCUAAUGCCAAGUAGCCUGCCUUACACCUUUCCAAGAUAUGUCAUCUCUAUCUCAACCAUGCAUCAUUGCUGAUGGUCUGGGGUUUCUAUGAGGACACAGAGCAUCCAAAUCCUACAUUUUCCUGAGAUGUGACUUGCUCCUCCCCCCAUCCUGGCAUAUUGUAAGAGUCAGUAAUGCAGUGCAAGAAAGAAGGGAACCUUUAGACUUCUGCAUCCAUGUUCCCACAGAGUUAAGGCAGUGUGGAUUCCCCUGAACACCCACAUUUCAACAGGACGAGCACCUUGAAGCAAAGAGGCUUACCUCACCCCAUCCAAAGACCAAAGUUCUAGUAAAGAAAGGGGCUUCAGAGGCGUUACCUUCUUUUGGUUUCACUCCCCAGACUUAACCAUACAAUGUAAGGUUUAUUGAGUGUUUCCAGUGCUGGGGCCUGCAAGUAACAGAAACAUUUUUUGAAAUAAUAUGUUACUAAUUUCUAAAAUGCCCAUGAAAGAGUUUUUUUUAAUACUUGACCUCUUAAUUUGUCUAUUAAAAAAUCAUCUUUUUGCUCUUUGACUUUAAAAUUCCCUUUUUUAAAUGUGUCCUUCAUCCAACUCAUUCCAACCACAACCAUUUGGAUCCAGAUAGGUGACUUUAUCUGUAAGUAAAAGGCUAGGCUCUAUUGGUACCAAAAAGGAAAGCUUGUAGCUUCAGAAGUCAUGGUUUAGUGCAAUCUCCUAUGUGCUGUGUCCUCUGACAGUAGCCAUGCCCUUAGUUUUAGUGCUAGAAUAUCUUAGAUAAACUGAUCCAUAUUAGCAUAUGUUUCAAGGUGACAGCUCUCCCACACCCAUCAGGGCAGAAGAUACCAUUUGGCUGGGCUGUAUGGGAAGCUCAGGCUCCGAGAAACAGGAUAUGAUCCUUGCCAUGUGGCUAUGGGAACGUGAGUUGACAUUAAGCAGCCCUUCCAUUUUCACCUGAGUGACAGCCACAAAGUGACUUCCAGGAAGCUCCAGAAAUAGUUUCAUCCUUCUCUAUCCUCUUUGAGCCUCCUCACUCUUGGGUUCUUCAGCAAUUCACUCUCAGGCUCUGACACUGAACGGACAUCUACAACUUCCCAGGAGUCUUCAGGGUGACCGUAAGAGCUGUGCAGACUACUGUCGUAGCCUCCCUAGUGGAGAGAGAACCCCAGGGGAAACCGAGGUGCUGGACACAACAGAUCACACUUAUAUUCCCAACACGUGGGUAGUGGAUGCAGGAGGAUUACCAGUUUGAGAGCAGCCUGGGCUUUGUAGGGAUAUCCUGUGUGUGGCAGGGGUGCGGGGAAUAAGUAACUAAGUGGCAAGGAGGAUGAGAGCAGGCAUGUGAUUUGAAUCCAGCACAGCAGCUUAGCAUGGCGUAAGGAGCCACAGUGGCAUGUUUUCUGUAUAAUAUUGCUGCAUAACUCUAGAUCUGUCUGUGCUAACACAUCCUUUGCCCUUAGAUGGGGUAAGCCCAUAACCAUCUUUAUAUGUCUGUACAGAAAGAAAGGACCCCUUUC
rnacentral:lncRNA from 1 species